GUUUCUGCCUAUCUGAAGCCUUUCAAAGGCUGCCCUGGAGACAGGCUUUCAGUCCCUGCAGGGGUGGACAAAGAGACUUCAUGAAUGAAAGACCCAGAGAUGGCCCACCCAAUGCCCAGGAGAUGCUGCAGACCACAUUACAGGCACCAAUAAUUGGGAUCAUCAGGAGGAACAACAUGGCAUCAAUAUGUUCCUACAGCUGAGAGCAUCCUAUAGUCAGCAGCAUCCUACAACCAGCAGUGUCCUACAGCCAGUAUUGUCCUGCAGCAUGCCCAGCCUAAGCACUGGGCAGGCUGUGAGCAGCUCCAGGCAGGCAGUGUUGUCCUAAAGCUCCUCCAGCUAGCAGUAAACUGAUGUGCUGUGUUUGCCUCAAAUUAACCAGCAAUAAUUUAAAGGUCUUCAUCUAAGCAUGUUUUAUUGGGGCUGUGACUUCCUUUAUACAUUUUUUACAGGUUGACUCAAGCUGUCGAACAUGUGUUAGUCAAAGUGGAAAAAAUAAACCCUUCAGGGUACAUGUGGGCAGUGCUUAGUGAGGGAUGGAUUUAUGCACUGUAGUACCAUAUGGGAAAGCAUAAACACGCAUUUUGCCUAUAGAUAAGUGACUCAGUGUUAACUUUUUUGUUUGUUCAUGGAAUUUUAAGAUAGCAGGAUCUCGAGGAAGCUUACCAACUAACUCCUAUUAACAGAAUAAAACCAAACAGGAGAAAGUAUGGAAAGCAAACAGAAGAGCCUUCCCUUGUCAUAGACCCCAAGCUUCAGCAGGAGCUUACCAUCCUGCCACUGGGAUGCAAAGCAGAAAGCUGCUCUAAGGACAGUGCUUUGUAGGUGUGUUGCGGAGAAGAGGCAGGCUGCUUUUAGUAGAGGUGAGCUCUUUGUAAAGGCUAUUUCAUUAGUACAAAAUGUAUUUGUUUGUCCUGUGUUUGUAAGUGAAAGACAACAAGUACCUUAUUGAAACAACUUAACCAAAACGUGACUUCUUGUGCCAGUUACUUCUUCAGAACUACAAUUAAUUUUAUAUGUAAUUCAUCUCAUAGAACUUAUACAAUGUGAAUAACAUGUGGACUAUUGAUGCUAUUCAGCGAGCAAAUGGGUUUUCUUGGCAGCCUAAUGGUCUGUGCAAAAUGUAGCUUUAGCUAUUUUUCUGAACCCAUUAGCUGCUAUGAAAAUCUUUAGUUAACCUAAUCUUCUUAUUCCAUCCAUCACUAAGUGUCAUCUGCUCCAUCCCACGGUGCUCAGCAGGCCCUGGCUGUUACUGACAGCCCUGACCCAGGCUGACACGCUCUGUUCCCUGGGCGAGGACAGGGGCCUUCCACAUGUUCCUCCCCAGCUCUGAGGUAGGGGUAAAUCUCAACAUUGAUCUGACUUCUAUGAAGCCCAACAAGGCUGGUAACAGAUGAUUUGCAUGGGAAGGGUCAUCAAAUCAGCGCCUCCCAGCGCCCUGCAUGGCCAGCAGUACCCAAAGGGGAUGUAAAUAAGGAGCACUUGACACUUGGGGCUGGUUAUCCACAUCUUGCAAUUAGUGCUAAAGCAUGGUAAUUAGGCACAUGAAUCAGCCUUUUGUUUAAGGUUUGUUAGGCAAUAAUUGUGUUUUCUGGCACGUGAUUGGCUUGGGACAAUUUUCUAUGACAUGUUAAUUAUUGUCCCUGGGAUGAAGCAUUCCUGGCAAAAUAAUGGCUGCUCCUGGGGCCAUCCUCACAGCCCUGACCCCAGCUGCACACAGACCCUGCCCCACCUUGCCAGGGGCUCUGCAAGAAUUACUCAGUUUUGUGUGGUCGUCUUAAUUUUUUGGUUUUGGUAUGCACAGCACCAUGGCUCACCCUGGCUGCAGUAACCAAAUGUCUUUCCUUCCACCCUACUGAAGUAACCCAUAAGCACUGGGCUCUGUCUGGUCUUGUCACAGGCUUUUGUCCCAGCCCAAGAGUUAUAUUAGAUCCAGCAAAGGACUGCAGCUCUUUCUCCACACCACAAGCUUUUAUUGUAUUGCUGAAAGUUCUGAGCAGCAUCUCACACAACACUGAGUGAACAUCACAUACAUUUCAAUGAGCCCCUUCAAGGAAGAAAUUUAGUUAAUCCGUGCUGAAUGUAUAUCUCAAUCUAUUGCUUUUUAACUUAUAAAAAUGACCACCUCCCACUAUAUUAAAUCCUAAGAUAAGAGAGGCUUGCACUAACUUUUCUGCUGCUAUAAUCCUGUAUCUGCUCUCUCACAUGUGGCCUCAGAAGAGAUAAAUUAUACAGCUUGUG